rfam:Enhygromyxa salina strain DSM 15201 ES-Contig_92, whole genome shotgun sequence.
GAGGGAUGGCCCCUCGGAGUCGGGUUGCAGGAUCAGGCUCCAAACCACCUCGAGCUGCGUCGGUCAAGAGCCGUCGUGGUGAGCGUCGAGGGAAAGUCGCGAGGGAUAUCGCGACAGGU